GAGGGUAUAGUUCAAGUGAUAGAGCGCAUGCCCAGCAUGCAUGAGGUCCUGGGUUCAAUCCCCAGCACCUCCA
rnacentral:tRNA from 1 species